rnacentral:lncRNA from 1 species
UAGAGAUGGGCUUAAAGGCAGGCAAGAUUAAAGACUUCACUGCCUUGGAAGCGGUUGCCAAACAUAUACAGACUGGCAAGUAUGCGAGCGAUCCCAAGAGGGUACUUGAUAAAGGCAAUGGAGAUGUAUCCCUCGUUUCACAAGGCCAAGCUAGUAGACCAACCUACAGUCCCCCCAUUCGAAAAAAGCAAGACAAUCUGCUAUUUCAACAACAGGCUACAUUCAACCAAUGCUAGGACAUAAAAAGAAAAUUUGAAAGAAUAGAAAAUCGGGUGUUCACUCCACUGGGCGAUUCCCUUGAAAAUGUAUUAGCGAUAUUAAUGGAUCAUAAGAAAAUUACCGAACUGGCUCCGCCUCUAGAACCAGGGAGCAAAAGAUACAAUCCAGGCUAGAGAUGUGCUUACCACUCAGGACCUCCGGGACAUGAUACACAAGAUUGUUGGUCCUUAAAGUAUAAAAUUUAAAAUCUAAUCGAAAGUGGCAGUAUUGUGGUCCAAAAACCUGACCAACAAAAUGUCAACACUAACCUUCCGUUGUAGCAUGAUACAGAGGGAGUAAACAUGAUCGGG